GAUGAACGCUGACAGAAUGCUUAACACAUGCAAGUCUUUGGUGAAGCUGUGCUUGCACAGCCUAGCCAAGGCGGACGGGUGAGUAACGCCUAAGGAACUUGCCCUGCAGUCAGGGAUAACAGACGGAAACGACUGAUAAGACCUGGUAAAGUCAGGCGGACUCAUGUCCAGCCUGAUGAAAAGAGAUGCUGCAGGAGAGCCUUGCGUCCUAUUAGCUUGUUGGUGGGGUAACGGCCCACCAAGGCAAUGAUAGGUAGCCGGCCUGAGAGGGUGGACGGCCACAAGGGGACUGAGAUACGGCCCUUACUCCUACGGGAGGCAGCAGUGGGGAAUAUUGGACAAUGGGGGCAACCCUGAUCCAGCAAUUCUGUGUGCACGAUGAAGGUUUUCGGAGUGUAAAGUGCUUUCAGCAGGGAAGAAAAAAAUGACGGUACCUGCAGAAGAAGCGACGGCUAAAUACGUG
rnacentral:rRNA from 1 species